rnacentral:rRNA from 1 species
CCUACGGGAGGCUGCAGUGGGGGAUAUUGCACAAUGGGGGGAACCCUGAUGCAGCGACGCCGCGUGGGUGAAGAAGCGCCUCGGCGCGUAAAGCCCUGUCAGCAGGGAAGAAAAUGACGGUACCUGAAGAAGAAGCCCCGGCUAACUACGUGCCAGCAGCCGCGGUAAUACGUAGGGGGCAAGCGUUAUCCGGAUUUACUGGGUGUAAAGGGGGCGCAGACGGCGAUGCAAGCCAGGAGUGAAAGCCCGGGGCCCAACCCCGGGACUGCUCUUGGAACUGCGUGGCUGGAGUGCAGGAGGGGCAGGCGGAAUUCCUGGUGUAGCGGUGAAAUGCGUAGAGAUCUGGAGGAAUACCGGUGGCGAAGGCGGCCCCCUGGACGAAGACUGACGCUCAGGUGCGAAAGCGUGGGGAGCAAACAGGAUUAGAUACCCUUGUAGUC